GGGAUUAGUGGCGAACGGGUGAGUAACACGUGGGCAAUCUGCCCUUCACUCUGGGACAAGCCCUGGAAACGGGGUCUAAUACCGGAUACGACACUCUCGGGCAUCCGAUGAGUGUGGAAAGCUCCGGCGGUGAAGGAUGAGCCCGCGGCCUAUCAGCUUGUUGGUGAGGUAACGGCUCACCAAGGCGACGACGGGUAGCCGGCCUGAGAGGGCGACCGGCCACACUGGGACUGAGACACGGCCCAGACUCCUACGGGAGGCAGCAGUGGGGAAUAUUGCACAAUGGGCGAAAGCCUGAUGCAGCGACGCCGCGUGAGGGAUGACGGCCUUCGGGUUGUAAACCUCUUUCAGCAGGGAAGAAGCGAAAGUGACGGUACCUGCAGAAGAAGCGCCGGCUAACUACGUGCCAGCAGCCGCGGUAAU
rnacentral:rRNA from 1 species